UGGCGGACGGGUGAGUAACGCGUGGGUAACCUUCCUUGUACUGGGGGACAACAGUUAGAAAUGACUGCUAAUACCGCAUAAGCGCACAGUAUCGCAUGAUACAGUGUGAAAAACUCCGGUGGUACAAGAUGGACCCGCGUCUGAUUAGCUAGUUGGUGGGGUAACGGCCCACCAAAGCGACGAUCAGUAGCCGACCUGAGAGGGUGACCGGCCACAUUGGGACUGAGACACGGCCCAA
rnacentral:rRNA from 1 species